rnacentral:rRNA from 1 species
UCUUAGUACGGCGAGUGAACCGGGAUGAGCUCAAAUUUAAAAUCUGGCGUCUUUCAGGCGUCCGAGUUGUAAUCUAUAGAGGCGUUUUCCGCGCCGGACCGCGUCCAAGUCUCUUGGAAUAGAGUAUCAAAGAGGGUGACAAUCCCGUACUUGACGCGACAACCGGUGCUCUGUGAUACGUUCUCAAUGAGUCGAGUUGUUUGGGAAUGCAGCUCUAAAUGGGUGGUAAAUUCCAUCUAAGGCUAAAUAUUGGCGAGAGACCGAUAGCGAACAAGUACCGUGAGGGAAAGAUGAAAAGCACUUUGGAAAGAGAGUUAAACAGCACGUGAAAUUGUUAAAAGGGAAACGAUUGAAGUCAGUCGUGUGAAAGGUAUUCAGCCGUCUCUGGCGGUGUAUUUGCCUUUCACGGGUCAACAUCAGUUUGAUCCGGUAGAAAAAGGCGGGAGGAAGGUGGCACCCUCGGGUGUGUUAUAGCCUCCUGUCAUAUGUGCCGGACCAGACUGAGGAACGCAGCUUGCCGCAAGGCCGGGGUUCGCCCACGUACAAGCUUAGGAUGUUGACAUAAUGGCUUUAAACGACCCGUCUUACA